AACGAACGCUGGCGGCAGGCCUAACACAUGCAAGUCGAACGAACCGUUUACGGUGAGUGGCGCACGGGUGAGUAACACGUGGGAAUAUACAUUUCGGUAAGGAAUAACGUAGAGAAAUUUACGCUAAUACCUUAUAAUGACUACGGUCCAAAGAUUUAUCGCCGAAGGAUUAGCCCGCGUUAGAUUAGGUAGUUGGUAGGGUAAUGGCCUACCAAGCCUACGAUCUAUAGCUGGUCUUAGAGGAUGAUCAGCCACACUGGAACUGAGACACGGUCCAGACUCCUACGGGAGGCAGCAGUGAGGAAUAUUGCGCAAUGGGGGAAACCCUGACGCAGCCAUGCCGCGUGAGUGACGAAGGCCUUAGGGUUGUAAAGCUCUUUCAGAUGUAAAGAUAAUGACGGUAACAUCAGAAGAAGCUCCGGCUAAAUUCGUGCCAGCAGCCGCCGCGG
rnacentral:rRNA from 1 species